AGGAUAAACGCUGGCGGCGUGCCUAACACAUGCAAGUCGAACGCGCUUUCGGGCUUCGGUGCGAGAGCGAGUGGCGGACGGGUGAGUAACACAUGGGUACCUACCUUGGAGUGAGGGAUACCGGCGAGAAAUCGCCGACAAUACCGCAUAGGCUUCUUCACAAGGGAAGCAAAGUGACGCGAGUCACGCUGUGAGAUGGGCCUGUGGCCGAUUAGCUAGUUGGGGGGUAACGGCUUCCCAAGGCGACGAUCGGUAGCUGGUCUGAGAGGACGAUCAGCCACACUGGGAUUGAGAACGGCCCAGACUCCUACGGGGGCAGCAGUGAGGAAUUUUCCGCAAUGGAGGCAACUCUGACGGAGCAACGCCGCGUGCAGGAGGAAGGUUUUCGGAUCGUAAACUGCUUUUCUCGGGGACGAGCAAGGACGGUACCCGAGGAAGAAGCCCCGGCUAACUACGUGCCAGCAGCCGC
rnacentral:rRNA from 1 species